AUGGACAUCGCGCAGCCUGCAGGGGCGGAUGCGGUGAAGCUUGUGGUGAUGAUCGUUCAGGCAGCUCAGACAGUUCGCCACAACAAGAAGACCUGCCAGCAGCUCGUCAACCGCGCGCAGAUGAUCGGUGACCUGCUGGAGAAGCUGCAGGGAUCGGAGAAGAUGCGGCAGCCAGAGAUACAGAGCCCGCUGAAGGUGCUCGAGGGGGUCCUAGGCGAGGCCCACGCGCUCGUCAAAUCAUGCCAGAACAGCAGCUAUGUAUACCAGCUCUUGAUGGGCCGGAAGCAGGCUGAUCAGUUCCGUGUUGUGCAAAAUAAAAUAGACUCGUAUCUCCUGCUCUUCCCACUCAUCAGCCACAUCGAAACUGCAGCUCAACUGGACCAAAUUCUGAAUGCCGUACGGCCACAGGCUGCUGAAGUGAUGCCAAAGUUACUUAGUGGCUGCUCAAACUACAGUGCUACUAGGUGCUCAUCUGGUGAUGCCAGGAUUGAAGUUUGUGGUAUAUCCGGAAGAGUUCACGCAAUAAAUGAGCCAUUUGCUGUAAAGGAAAGCCAGCAAGCAGGUUCCUCAAAUGUUGUCGAAUCAUUAUCAACCAAACAAAGCAGAAUGAGGCGCCAUUGCUGUGGACAGCAUAAGGAGUCACCCACAAUUCAUAGGCUUACUGGUGACAAAGUCUCCUUCAAGUUCACUUUCUUCCAGUUGGUGGAUGCUACCAAAAGUUUCUGCCCUGCAAACCAGAUUGGAAAAGGUACCUUUGGCUGUGUUUACAAGGGUCGACUACAUGAUGGAUUUGAAGUUGCAAUCAAAAGACGUUCUGAAGUUCCUCCGUCACCUAGUAAAUUGGAUUUCCAAAAUUUGGAGUUUAGCAAUGAGGUUUGCUUUCUUACUGAACUUCAGCAUACCAAUAUUGUCAAACUUCUGGGAUGCUGCAUCCAUGGAGCAGAGAGAGUUUUGGUCUAUGAAUAUAUGGCCAAUGGAAGCUUCGAUACCUUCAUCUUUGGUGCAAGAACAAAAAGGGCCUAUCUUGACUGGCCCACGCGCUCCAAAAUAAUGAAAGGGGUGGCUGAAGGACUUCUGUAUCUUCAUAAGCAGUGUGGGCUAUACAUUAUACAUGGAGAUUUAAAGCCAAGUAACAUUCUCUUGGAUUCUGACAUGAAUCCCAAGAUCUCUGAUUUUGGCAUAGCUAGGAAGUAUAGCCCCGGUGUGGAUGAAGAGUUUACUGACCGCGUAGUGGGCUCGACUGGUUUUAUUGCCCCAGAAUAUCAGAAAAGAGGACUUUUCUCAACAAAGUCUGAUGUGUAUGGCUUUGGAGCAUUGCUUCUUGAGGUCAUCAGUGGCAAGAGGUGCUUCUCACUUUCGAGUGGAGCUGAUUAUGGUGUUUUGAAUAAGAGGGCCUGGGUGUUAUGGGGUAGAGGAAGAUUGAUGAAGAUUGUCGACCCUCACUUACGCGGUGAAUCUCAUGCAGCAGAGAUAGUGAGGUGCAUCCAGAUAGCAUUGCUGUGCGUCGAGGAAGACGCGGCGAACCGACCCACCAUGCAGGAGGUUGUUCUGAUGCUAAGCUGCCAGAGUGUUGCGUUGCCAACACCUCAGCGCCCGGCUUACCUGAAUGCUGAAAUGGCAAAGCCUACAAUUUAA
rnacentral:rRNA from 1 species